AUUGAACGCUGGCGGCAGGCCUAACACAUGCAAGUCGAACGGUAGCACAGAGAGCUUGCUCUCGGGUGACGAGUGGCGGACGGGUGAGUAAUGUCUGGGAAACUGCCCGAUGGAGGGGGAUAACUACUGGAAACGGUAGCUAAUACCGCAUAACGUCGCAAGACCAAAGUGGGGGACCUUCGGGCCUCACACCAUCGGAUGUGCCCAGAUGGGAUUAGCUAGUAGGUGGGGUAAUGGCUCACCUAGGCGACGAUCCCUAGCUGGUCUGAGAGGGUGACCGGCCACACUGGAACUGAGAGACGGUCCAGACUCCUACGGGAGGCAGCAGUGGGGAAUAUUGCACAAUGGGCGCAAGCCUGAUGCAGCCAUGCCGCGUGUAUGAAGAAGGCCUUCGGGUUGUAAAGUACUUUCAGCGGGGAGGAAGGCGGUGAAGUUAAUAACUUCACCGAUUGACGUUACCCGCAGAAGAAGCACCGGCUAACUCCGUGCCAGCCGCCGCGGUAA
rnacentral:rRNA from 1 species